UACGUAGGGUGCAAGCGUUAAUCGGAAUUACUGGGCGUAAAGCGCACGUAGGUGGUUUGCUAAGUCAGCUGUGAAAUCCCCGGGCUCAACCUGGGCACUGCAGUUGAAACUGGCAAGCUAGAGUAGGGUAGAGGGGUGUGGAAUUCCAGGUGUAGCGGUGAAAUGCGUAGAUAUCAAGAGGAACACCUGAGGUGAAGACGGGUUGCUGGGCUGACACUGACGCUGAGGCGCGAAAGCGUGGGGAGCAAACAGG
rnacentral:rRNA from 1 species